rnacentral:rRNA from 1 species
UACGAAGGGGGCUAGCGUUGCUCGGAAUCACUGGGCGUAAAGCGCGUGUAGGCGGUUUGGUAAGUCCGCUGUGAAAGUCGGGGGCUCAACCCUCGAAUGCCGGUGGAUACUGUCGAACUAGAGUGCGGAAGAGGCGAGUGGAAUUCCUGGUGUAGCGGUGAAAUGCGCAGAUAUCAGGAGGAACACCAAUUGCGAAGGCAGCUCGCUGGGACGUAACUGACGCUGAGACGCGAAAGCGUGGGGAGCAAACAGG